rnacentral:rRNA from 1 species
AUGUUUGAGAAAUUUGGUGAAGAACUAUAUGAAGCAGGGCAAUACAAAAUAGAAGAGGUGAGCAGAUGGAAAUCAUAUCUAGCGCGACGACACCAUCCAAAGAAGCAUGAAAAAUGGUGCAGAGUACUCUACAAGGUUGAAGUUAUUGAUGAUGGCUCAUCAAUAGUAUCGAUAGUGUGCGAGUGUGGUAAUUUUGAACACACGGGCUUGCUUUGCUGCCACGCAUUAAAUGUCCUCGGUGUCCUCGGAAUGGAUCAGAUACCAGCAAAGCACAUUCUGAAGCGCUGGACAAAGGAUGCAAGGGAUGUGUUGCCAGAUCAUCUGGUGCACCUUCAGAAGGAUAAGAUUAAUGUCAACUUUAUAACAUUCAGGCACUCAAAUUUAUACACUCAUGCCCUCGAAGUUGUCCGUCUUGGUGAUGCCAACACAUGGACUUAUGAAUGUGCAAUGGAAAUACUGAAGAAAGCAAUGGAUACACUGACGCCCAUGGCCAGCGUCCGCGACGGGAUGGGGCUUGAAGACGGAAUUCAUUCAGAUAAGGGGAAAGACAAAGAGCUGAUUCCAAUGCAUGCAGCAGAAAGUCAUGAAGACAACGAUGCAGAGGGUACUGCGGUUGGAAAUUUCAUCGGCUUAAAGCCUCCAGAACGAAAACUUAAACCAGGUAGACCUACUACCAGCAGGGACAAGCCUCCAUAUGAUGAUCCAGGCGCAAAGAGCAAAAAAUUCAAGGAUGCAACGAACGGAAAAGCUCCAGAUGGUUCUGGUACAAGCAAACGUACUCAUUUCUGCAGUAUAUGCCGUGGAGCUGGGCACAAGAGUACUACAUGUCCGCAGAGAGGUGAUCUCCCUCGCAAAGAAAGGAAAGAGGCCAAAUGUUCAAACUGCGGUGUUGGUGGACACAAGAAGAACACCUGCAACAAACCUAAAGUGGUGCUGCAUGUUGUUAAAAAUGCAACCUUGGAGCAGAUUUCCAUCUAG